AGUCUCCUCCUCCCUCCAGCUUUCUCACAGAGACACACGGGGCGGGGCAGCCGCUGCUCCCGGGAGAAUAUUUUCACAGGGUAUACAAUUAUAAAUUGCAUCUAUUUUCAAUCAGCAUUUUACAGAAGUCAUUCCACUGUGAAGUCAGCUGUAAGUCUUAUUGCUGUUCUUUCAAAGAAAUUAAAAGAUCAACUGUCAAGUGGGAGAAAUUUUUUGACAUUAAAAAGAAGUGCUCAAAUGCAAAUCAAAACCACAAGGAUGUGGAAUAACAGAAACUCUCAUUCAUUGCUGGUGGGAAAGCAAAACGGUACAGGCACUUCAGAAGACAGUUUGGAAGCUUCUUACAAAACUAAACAUACUUUCACCAUAUGAUCCAGGAAUUGCAUUCCUUGGUAUUUACUCAAAUGAGUUGAAAACUUAUGUCCACACAAAAACGUGCUGAAGGAUGUUAAGAGCAGCUUCAUUCAUAAUUGACAAAACUUGGAAGCAACUAAGAUGCCCUUCACUGGGUGAAUGGAUAAAUAAACUGUGGGACAUCCUGACACUGGAAUGUUACUCAGCACUAAAAAGAAAUGAGCUAUCAAACCAUAAAAAGACAUGAAGGAAUCUUCAAUGCAUAUUACUAAGUGAAAGAAGCCAAUCUGAAAAGGCUACAUACAUACUGUACAAUUCCAACUAUAUGACAUUCUGAAAAAGUCAAAACUAUGGAGAUAGUAAAAAGAUCAGUGAUUGCCAGAGGUUGGUGAGAGUGGAGACAGAUGAAUAGGUGGGGCACAGAGGAUUUUUGGGACGGGAAAACUAUCCUGUAUGAUACUAUAAUGAUGGAUACAUGUCAUUAUAUAUUUGUCGAAACCUAUAGAAUGUACAACACCAAGUGUGAACCCUAACAUAAACUAAAGACUUUGGGUGAUAAUGAUGUGUAAAUGUAGGUUCAUCAGCUGUAAUAAGUGUACCACUCUGGUUGGGGAUGUUGAUGGUCGGGGAGGCUAUGCAUGAGUGGUAGGUGUGGUAGGGGAUCUAUGGGAAAUCUCUGUACUUUCUGCUCAAUUUUGCUGUGAACCUAAAGCUACUCUAAAGAAUAAAAUCUAUUUAAUUUAAAAAAAAACACAAUGAGAUACCACAUCACACCUAUUAGGAUCUCUAAUAUAUAUAUUUAAAAAAAAAAACAGAAAAUAACAAGUGUUGGUAAGGAUAUGGAGAAAUUGGAACCCUUGUGCUCUAUU